GACGAACGCUGGCGGCGUGCUUAACACAUGCAAGUCGAACGGAAAGGCCCUGCUUUUGUGGGGUGCUCGAGUGGCGAACGGGUGAGUAACACGUGAGUAACCUGCCCUUGACUUUGGGAUAACUUCAGGAAACUGGGGCUAAUACCGGAUAGGAGCUCCUGCUGCAUGGUGGGGGUUGGAAAGUUUCGGCGGUUGGGGAUGGACUCGCGGCUUAUCAGCUUGUUGGUGGGGUAGUGGCUUACCAAGGCUUUGACGGGUAGCCGGCCUGAGAGGGUGACCGGCCACAUUGGGACUGAGAUACGGCCCAGACUCCUACGGGAGGCAGCAGUGGGGAAUAUUGCACAAUGGGCGGAAGCCUGAUGCAGCAACGCCGCGUGCGGGAUGACGGCCUUCGGUUUGUAAACCGCUUUCGCCUGUGACGAUGCGUGAGUGACGGUAAUGGGUAAAGAAGCACCGGCUAACUACGUG
rnacentral:rRNA from 1 species